AGAGUGAACGCUGGCGGUAGGCCUAACACAUGCAAGUCGAACGGCAGCACAGUGGUAGCAAUACCAUGGGUGGCGAGUGGCGGACGGGUGAGGAAUACAUCGGAAUCUACCUUUUCGUGGGGGAUAACGUAGGGAAACUUACGCUAAUACCGCAUACGCCCUUCGGGGGAAAGCCGGGGAUCGCAAGACCUGGCGCGGAUAGAUGAGCCGAUGUCGGAUUAGCUAGUUGGUGAGGUAAUGGCUCACCAAGGCGACGAUCCGUAGCUGGUCUGAGAGGAUGAUCAGCCACACUGGAACUGAGACACGGUCCAGACUCCUACGGGAGGCAGCAGUGGGAAUAGUUGGACAAUGGGCGCAAGCCUGAUCCAGCCAUACCGCGUGGGUGAAGAAGGCCUUCGGUGUAAAGCCCUUUUGUAGGAAAGAAAGCAAGUACGGUUAAUACCGUUGUU
rnacentral:rRNA from 1 species